rnacentral:rRNA from 1 species
CACAUGUACAGUGGCGAACGGGUGAGGACUACAUGGGUAACCUACCCUCGAGUGGGGGAUAACUAGCCGAAAGGUUAGCUAAUACCGCGUACGCUUCCGGGACUGCGGUUUCGGAAGGAAAGCGAUACCGUGGGUAUCGCGCUCUUGGAUGGGCUCAUGCCCUAUCAGCUUGUUGGUGAGGUAACGGCUCACCAAGGCAUCGACGGGUAGCUGAUCUGAGAGGAUGAUCAGCCACACUGGCACUGCGACACGGGCCAGACUCCUACGGGAGGCAGCAGUAAGGAAUAUCGCGCAAUGGGCGAAAGCCUGACGCAGCGACGCCGCGUGGGGGAUGAAGGUCUUCGGAUUGUAAACCCCUUUCGGGAGGGAAGAUGGGAUGGGGUAACCCAUUCGGACGGUACCUCCAGAAGCAGCCACGGCUAACUUCGUGCCAGCAGCCGCGGUAAUACGAAGGUGGCAAGCGUUGUUCGGAUUUACUGGGCGUACAGGGAGCGUAGGCGGUUCGGUAAGCCCUCCGUGAAAUCUCCAGGCUCAACCUGGAAAGUGCAGAGGGGACUGCCGGGCUAGAGGAUGGGAGAGGAGCGCGGAAUUCCCGGUGUAGCGGUGAAAUGCGUAGAGAUCGGGAGGAAGGCCGGUGGCGAAGGCGGCGCUCUGGAACAUUUCUGACGCUGAGGCUCGAAAGCGUGGGGAGCAAACAGGAUUAGAUACCCUGGUAGUCCACGCCUU